UACAUGGGGUGCAAACGUUGCUCGGAAUUAUUGGGCGUAAAGCGCACGUAGGCGGUUCGUUAAGUCGGAUGUGAAAGCCCUCGGCUCAACUGAGGAAGUGCACCCGAAACUGGCGAGCUUGAGUACGAAAGAGGAUCGCGGAAUUCCCGGUGUAGAGGUGAAAUUCGUAGAUAUCGGAAGGAACACCAGUGGCGAAAGCGGCUUCCUGGUCCAGCACCGACGUUCAGGCACGAAAGCGUGGGGAGCAAACAGG
rnacentral:rRNA from 1 species